GUCCGUGUGGCCUAAUGGACAAGGCGCCAGGUUUCGGCCCUGGAGAUUGCAGGUUCGAAUCCUGCCAUGGAUA
rnacentral:tRNA from 1 species